UUGAUGAUUCCUGUGGACCUUUACCUUUCAAUUUGAUCCUUGUUUAAGGAGUUUAUUGGUGAAGGGGAACUUUGAUGCAACAGUAAAGUUUUAUUAUAUGACCUUGUGGUCAUAGGCUCGAGUUACGGAAAUAGCCUCUUUGCAAUGCAAGUCCACUGCGUCAGUUGUGAUUAGCAACCUGGAAGUCAUACUAGGCGGUGAAAUUUAGGUGUGGACUCUGGAUGCCCAAGAUGUUCUGUUCCAUGAUCUACUGGGAAGCCGAAUACAUUAGUCAGUACAACUUAUAAUCUAGUUUUAUCCAAUUUAUUGGAUAUGAUUCCUAUUGAUCAAACAUGCACAGAAUUUCCACUACAAAUAAAUUCUGGUUUCCCUUGCAUGCUACAUCUACUGUUCUAAUCUCUACUAUAGAUUGACAUUAGCGUUAGCCAAUCAUUCGUGUGUUAGAUUUUGCUAGAUGUUCAUUCUAUUGUUGUUUAUGAGCUAUUGGCUCCACACUAUUUCAUUCUCUUGUUGGUUUAUAACUUUCAAGCAUUAUAUCAGCAAGGUUUGCUAUAUGGGAUUGCACCUUUUGCUAUUUUUUGUUU